GAUCAUAGCUCAGGAUGAACGCUGGCGGCGUGCCUAACACAUGCAAGUCGAACGGAGUCGUUUUGGAAAAUCCUUCGGGAUUGGAAUUCUCGACUUAGUGGCGGACGGGUGAGUAACGCGUGAGCAAUCUGCCUUUAAGAGGGGGAUAACAGUCGGAAACGGCUGCUAAUACCGCAUAAAGCAUCGAAACCGCAUGAUUUUGAUGCCAAAGGAGCAAUCCGCUUUUA
rnacentral:rRNA from 1 species